rnacentral:rRNA from 1 species
UACGUAGGGUGCGAGCGUUAAUCGGAAUUACUGGGCGUAAAGCGUGCGCAGGCGGCGCGUUACGUCCGGUGUGAAAGCCCCGAGCUUAACUUGGGAAUUGCGCUUGUGACUGGCGUGCUGGAGUGUGGCAGAGGGAGGUGGAAUUCCCCGUGUAGCAGUGAAAUGCGUAGAGAUGUGGAGGAACACCGAUGGCGAAGGCAGCCUCCUGGGCCAGCACUGACGCUCAUGCACGAAAGCGUGGGGAGCAAACAGG